UAGGGAAUAUUGCAAAAUGGGCGAAAGCCCGAUGCAGCAACGCCGCGUGGGCGAUGAAGGCCUUCGGGUCGUAAAGCCCUUUUUGAGGGGAUGAGGAAGGACAGUACCCUCAGAAUAAGCCUCGGCUAACUACGUGCCAGCAGCCGCGGUAAAACGUAGGAGGCGAGCGUUAUCCGGAUUUACUGGGCGUAAAGCGCGUGCAGGCGGAUUGGAGAGUUGGAUGUGAAAGCUCCCGGCUUAACUGGGAGAGGUCGUUCAAUACUUCCAGUCUUGAGUGCAGUAGAGGGAAGUGGAAUUCCGGGUGUAGUGGUGAAAUGCGUAGAUAUCCGGAGGAACACCAGUGUCGAAAGCGGCUUCCUGGACUGUAACUGACGCUCAGACGCGAAAGCUAGGGUAGCAAACG
rnacentral:rRNA from 1 species